GAACGCACAUUGCGCCCUUUGGUAUUCCGAAGGGCAUGCCUGUUCGAGCGUCAUUAUCACCCCUCAAGCCCCGUGCUUGGUGUUGGACGGUCGGUCGAAGGGUUUUGCCCCGCGACCCCUCCUAAAGACAACGACGGCGGCCUGUGGUUCCCCCGGUACACUGAGCUUUUCACCGAGCACGUACCGGACGAGGGCGCCCAGGACCCGGUCUUCUCCUCUCGCGAGGAACUAUUUUAUCAAGGUUGACCUCGGAUCAGGUAGGAAUACGCGCUGAACUUAAG
rnacentral:misc_RNA from 1 species